CCAAUAGCGUAUAUUAAAGUUGUUGCAGUUAAAAAGCUCGUAGUUGAAUUUCGGGACCAAUAUGUCUGUCGUGCCUUCGGUACGUACGGGUAUAAUUGGUUCCUACCUUCUGAUGAACCUUGAUGCCAUUAAUUUGGUGUCUUGGGGACUCAGGACUGUUACCUUGAAAAAAUUAGAGUGUUUAAAGCAGGCAUGCGCUUGAAUACAUUAGCAUGGAAUAAUGAAAUAGGACGUUCGAUUCUAUUUUGUUGGUUUCUAGGAUCGACGUAAUGAUUAAUAGGGAUAGUUGGGGGCAUUAGUAUUCAAUUGUCAGAGGUGAAAUUCUUGGAUUUAUUGAAGACUAACUACUGCGAAAGCAUUUGCCAAGGAUGUUUUCAUUAAUCGAGAACGAAAGUUAGGGGAUCGAAGACGAUCAGAUACCGUCGUAGUCUUAACCAUAAACUAUGCCGACUAGGGAUCGGAUGAUGUUAAUUUUUUAAUGACUCAUUCGGCGCCUUAC
rnacentral:rRNA from 1 species